rfam:Gossypium hirsutum cultivar TM-1 chromosome 21, whole genome shotgun sequence
CACGUCAGCGCGAGAUGCUGACGUGGAAGGAAAUCGCGUCCUUGAGAGCGUGAUUUCCUUCCACGUCAGCAUCUCGCGCUGACGUGG